UGGGGAAUUUUGGGCAAUGGGCGAAAGCCUGACCCAGCAACGCCGCGUGAAGGAUGAAGUAUUUCGGUAUGUAAACUUCGAAAGAAUAGGAAGAAUAAAUGACGGUACUAUUUAUAAGGUCCGGCUAACUACGUGCCAGCAGCCGCGGUAAUACGUAGGGACCAAGCGUUGUUCGGAUUUACUGGGCGUAAAGGGCGCGUAGGCGGCAAUUCAAGUCAUCUGUGAAAUCUCCGGGCUUAACUCGGAACGGUCAGAUGAUACUGCUUUGCUAGAGUGCAGAAGGGGCAAUCGGAAUUCUUGGUGUAGCGGUGAAAUGCGUAGAUAUCAAGAGGAACACCUGAGGUGAAGACGGGUUGCUGGGCUGAUACUGACACUGAGGUGCGAAAGCGUGGGGAGCAAACAGGAUUAGAUACCCCAGUAGUCCCUGAGCGGGCUGGCAAGGCGCAU
rnacentral:rRNA from 1 species